AGGUAGCGCCGCUUCACCAUGGUCUUCUCGCCUGCACGGAACAUAUAACAUACGGUUGGAUACGAUAGUUAGGGUCGCCUUUGAACUCUGAACACAGCAAAUCACUCGAGGCAAAGAUGAAGAAGGAGGUAAUCGUUCUUUAUUCUUCUUCCAAGGAUGGUAUGCUAGAUUUGUAGAGAAGAAAACUAUAUAGAUCAGGGUCUUACAGAUACGACGGAACUUGUGCUUCAGAUCCUGCUUCUGCUCGGAGUUGGUGACGCGGAAGUAGUAGUCCGGGUACGUGCUCUGCUCGUAGAGGUUGGGAGGAUUGGCGGUGCCGAUGGCCAUGAUGGUGGCCGGACCUUGAGCCCUCUGCGCCUUGCGUAUGGCGUGGAAGCUGC
rnacentral:lncRNA from 1 species